rnacentral:rRNA from 1 species
AUUCGCGGCCUAUCAGCUUGUUGGUGAGGUAAUGGCUCACCAAGGCGACGACGGGUAGCCGGCCUGAGAGGGUGACCGGCCACACUGGGACUGAGACACGGCCCAGACUCCUACGGGAGGCAGCAGUGGGGAAUAUUGCACAAUGGGCGCAAGCCUGAUGCAGCGACGCCGCGUGAGGGAUGAAGGCCUUCGGGUUGUAAACCUCUUUCAGUAGGGAAGAAGCGAAAGUGACGGUACCUGCAGAAGAAGCGCCGGCUAACUACGUGCCAGCAGCCGCGGUAAUACGUAGGGCGCAAGCGUUAUCCGGAAUUAUUGGGCGUAAAGAGCUCGUAGGCGGUUUGUCGCGUCUGCCGUGAAAGUCCGGGGCUUAACUCCGGAUCUGCGGUGGGUACGGGCAGACUUGAGUGAUGUAGGGGAGACUGGAAUUCCUGGUGUAGCGGUGAAAUGCGCAGAUAUCAGGAGGAACACCGAUGGCGAAGGCAGGUCUCUGGGCAUUAACUGACGCUGAGGAGCGAAAGCACGAGGAGCGAACAGGAUUAGAUACCCUGGUAGUCCAUGCCGUAAACGUUGGGCACUAGGUGUGGGGGACAUUCCACGUUUUCCGCGCCGUAGCUAACGCAUUAAGUGCCCCGCCUGGGGAGUACGGAAU